CACAGCAUCAAAGCAUGGCUGAGGUUGGAAGGGACCUCUGGAGAUCAUCUAGUCCAACUCCGCUGUUCAAGCAGGGUCACCUAGAACGUGCUGCACA